GUGCUCACUUCAGCAGCACAUAUACUAAAAUUGGAAUGAUUCAGAGAAGAUUAGCAUGGCCUCUGUGCAAGGAUGACAUGCAAAUUUGUGAAACAUUCCAUAUUUUU
rnacentral:snRNA from 1 species